rnacentral:piRNA from 1 species
UUUAAUUCCCUUCCCGGGAUGGUGAGGAUGC